rnacentral:lncRNA from 1 species
CUCCAAGACACUGAAUCUGAAAGGAUGCAUCCAGUCUUGCCAAGUGGUUUCACUACCAAGGCCAGUCUCCAUCUAUGAUAGACCCAAGGAAGAUCAUUUACAACUAGAAUCUAGUCAUUUAGGAGAUUGUGUGCUCCCUGGAUGGGCCAUCUGCACUGGUGUGAGGUUUAUCUCAUUGAAGGGAAAACCAAAGGAAUCUUCUUGAAUAUCAGCACCAGGAAGAGCAGUACAAACUGGAGAAGCUGGGUCCUGCCUUCCAAGGCUUGGCUUUUAAGCCUUUGCUCCUCUUCUGUGAGAUACUUGCUAACCUUCCAAAAAAUUCCCCUCUGGUGUUCAAGUUGGGUUCCUUGCAUUCAGAAGAUUGCUAAUAAUGUUAGCGCCUCUUCAAAGUCUCUGUGGCACUGCAUUUGGAAGCUUCUAAAGGCUGCCUGCAUUCCUUGGCUCAUGGCCUGCAUCAUUCCAACUUUGCUUCUGUCAUCACAUCUCUUCUAACUCUGACGCUCCUGCAUCCCUCUAUAACAACGCUUGUGAUUACGUUAGGUCCACCUCAUAAUCCAAGGUCAUUGUUGAGAGACAAAAUGAGAUCAUGUCUGGGAAAAUACUUCUAAAUUAUCAACUCCCUUUCUAUGGAAGAGGAUGACCAAAGAAGGAUGCACUCCUUGUCUGGAAUUAUGCCAGAGGUCUUAAAAUGCUCAGAAAUGAAAUCAGCCUUCUUCCCUGUCCUAAGAGGCUCAGGUUUUCGGCAAGUAACUCAUAAAAUUAAUGCUCCACUGAAAAUAAAAUCUGAUUUGAGUAGUAUCAGCACUUAGAAGACCUUUGGAGGCCGGGGGUAUUUUCUCUUUUACAAUGCUGUGAACAACAUUCACUCCUGGAAAACACUCCAAUGUCUUACAUCUUGAGGCUGUGGGGAUUUUUUUUUCUUUUGGUUUAAAUGUUGCCUUUCCUAUCUUUCUGCAUAUCAAUUUUUCCCCUGCCCAAGUCACAGGCUUGGUAGUAACCAUCAUGUUUACUGCUGUUCCUUCACAUGUGGUUCUCUGAGGCUUCUGAGCACCAGAAUUUUAUUAAACAGAGCUACUCACACCAUAAAGAUGGAAUUCUGCCAGAUCUGAAUCAUAGAAUAACACCAGAAUUGACUUCAGAAAUCAUCUUCUCUAAAGAUUUGCAAGAUUUUUAAACAGCACAUGCCUUUGUAAAAUGAAAUCAUCAGUGGAACACCGUAUAUAAAAUAAAAUUAAUAAAAACUACUAUGGCUGGA